rnacentral:rRNA from 1 species
UACGGAGGGGGCGAGCGUUAUUCGGAAUUAUUGGGCGUAAAGGGCGCGUAGGCGACCCGGUAAGUCAAAGGUGAAAUCCCUCGGCUCAACUGAGGAACUGCCUUUGAAACUGUCGGGCUUGAGGCCUGGGAGGGGUAGCGGAAUUCCCAGUGUAGCGGUGAAAUGCGUAGGAAUAUUUGGGAGGAAUACCGGUGGCGGAAG